UACGGAAGGGGCAAGCGUUGUUCGGAAUCAUUGGGCGUAAAGGGCGCGUAGGUGGUUCUGUAUGUCUACCGUGAAAGCGUACGGCUCAACUGUAUUUUGUCGGUGGAAACUGCAGGACUUUGAGGCUGGGAGGGGCUGGUGGAAUUCCCUGUGUAGCGGUGAAAUGCGUAGAGAUGGGGGAGAACACUCGUGGCGAAGGCGGCCAGCUAGACCAGUUCUGACACUGAGGCGCGACAGCGUGGGGAGCAAACAGG
rnacentral:rRNA from 1 species